GGUGAUUUCACAUUACACUGCGGUGAGAGGAGUCGUUUAACUGCGCGAGAAUCGUCUUGGAAGGGGCUGUAAAGGAACUCAGCAGGGCGAUUGCUUUUCCUUUGGUCGUCUCAUGAGGAUGGAUUGAGGUUAGGUACUGAAGGCCGCAGGCGCUAGUCCGGCUCGGGGAGUUGGACGCUAUCGAGGAGCUCCGAGACAUCGUUCUUCCAACCAACGCUUCGACACGGCCCUUCAUCUUCGUCAUCGACGUGGUGUGGUAGACCCUGUCUUCGAUAUCUUCGACGGUGGAAGCUGGCACUGUCGUUUGGAAGCCGAUAGCCUUGGCGAGUGAAGCAGCAGGAGUCGCUGGAAAACUACAUAUCAGAUGGCAGGAUGGUGUCAAACGGAACUGGAGGAGGCAUGGGAUAUCCACCUCUGAUGGUAGUUUUGAUAUCAUCCCAAAGUCUUGGUAAAUGGUAGAAAACAGUAAUGUUUGGGUUAUUUUUUUGUCCAUGUAAUAGGACUUGUAAAAUUUGAACAAAUGAAAAAAGGGAUU